UGGGGAAUCUUCCGCAAUGGGCGAAAGCCUGACGGAGCAAUGCCGCGUGAGUGAAGAAGGCCUUCGGGUUGUAAAACUCUGUCCUAUUUGAAGAGAGAGUUGUGUGUGAAUAAUGCAUGACUAGGACGGUAAAAUAGGAGGAAGCCCCGGCUAACUACGUGCCAGCAGCCGCGGUAAUACGUAGGGGGCAAGCGUUGUCCGGAAUCACUGGGCGUAAAGCGCACGCAGGCGGCGUGACGCGUCAGAAGUGAAAUCCCCGGGCUCAACCUGGGAACUGCUUUUGAAACGGUCAUGCUUGAAUCAUGGAGAGGGUAGCGGAAUUCCGAGUGUAGAGGUGAAAUUCGUAGAUAUUCGGAAGAACACCGGUGGCGAAGGCGGCUACCUGGCCAUGUAUUGACGCUCAGGUGCGAAAGCGUGGGGAGCAAACA
rnacentral:rRNA from 1 species